UGUUAAAAAAUUUAUUUAUUUCUAUUAUUGAAAACUGGCAUGACUGGCAAAAUAAUCAAACAAUGAUGUAUACAGAGUAAUUUUUAAUGGUAGAAAUGGAUAGUUUUUUUAACA
rnacentral:pre_miRNA from 1 species